UACGUAGGGUGCAAGCGUUGUCCGGAAUUAUUGGGCGUAAAGAGCUCGUAGGCGGUCUGUUGCGUCGGCUGUGAAAACCCGAGGCUCAACCUCGGGCCUGCAGCCGAUACGGGCAGACUAGAGUUCGGCAGGGGAGACUGGAAUUCCUGGUGUAGCGGUGAAAUGCGCAGAUAUCAGGAGGAACACCGGUGGCGGAAGGCGGGGUCUCU
rnacentral:rRNA from 1 species